rnacentral:rRNA from 1 species
UACGUAGAGUGCGAGCGUUGUUCGGAAUUACUGGGCGUAAAGCGCACGUAGGCGGACUAUUAAGUCAGGGGUGAAAUCCCGGGGCUCAACCCCGGAACUGCCUUUGAUACUGGUAGUCUCGAGUCCGGAAGAGGUGAGUGGAAUUCCGAGUGUAGAGGUGAAAUUCGUAGAUAUUCGGAGGAACACCAGUGGCGAAGGCGGCUCACUGGUCCGGUACUGACGCUGAGGCGCGAAAGCGUGGGGAGCAAACAGG